UGUAAAUCAAGGAUAUGACAAAUGGGUGCUACAUGCCAUCUGAGCAACUGUUCUGUCCUCGAUCAAGUGUCCAGUGCUCAAGAGAUGCCCAAGUACUGGCAAGAAGGUGAUAAAUCGGUUUAGGAAAAGCUACAGAUCUGACAAAAAAACAAUAAACAAAAUCAAACAAGGAAUUUUGUUUACUAAUUCUUCAGCUAACAAAGGAAUACUUCAGGCCUCUGAGCUGUUUCAGAAAACAGGCAUCAGAUCUACCCCUCCGGUGCAGCA